rnacentral:rRNA from 1 species
GAUGAACGCUGGCGGCGUGCUUAACACAUGCAAGUCGAACGGAAAGGCCCUGCUUUCGUGGGGUGCUCGAGUGGCGAUCGGGUGAGUAACACGUGAGCAUCCUGCUCUUGUCUUUGGGAUAACUUCAGGAAACUGGGGUUACUACCGGACAGGAUAUCCCGCUGCAUGGUGGGGGUUGGAUAGUCUCGGCGGGUGGGGAUGGAUGCGCGGCUUAUCAGUUUGUUGGUGGGGUAGUGGCUUACCCAGGCUUUGACGGGUAGCCGGCUUGAGAGGGGGAACGGCGACAAGGGGACUAAGAGACGGCCCAGUCGGGUACGGUGGGCAAUGGUGGGGAGUAUUACACAAUGAGCCGGAGCCGGAUGCGACGACGCCGCGGGCGGGAAGACGGCCUGCGGGGAGUGAAACGCUGUCGCCUGAGACGAAGCGUGAGUGACGGUAAUGAAUAAAGAAGCACCGGCUAACUACGUG